rnacentral:rRNA from 1 species
AGAGUUUGAUCCUGGCUCAGGACGAACGCUGGCGGCACGCUUAACACAUGCAAGUCGAACGAGAGAAGAGGAGCUUGCUUUUCUGAUCUAGUGGCGGACGGGUGAGUAACACGUGAGCAAUCUGCCUUUCAGAGGGGGAUACCGAUUGGAAACGAUCGUUAAUACCGCAUAACAUAAUUGAACCGCAUGAUUUGAUUAUCAAAGAUUUAUCGCUGAAAGAUGAGCUCGCGUCUGAUUAGCUAGUUGGUAAGGUAACGGCUUACCAAGGCGACGAUCAGUAGCCGGACUGAGAGGUUGAUCGGCCACAUUGGGACUGAGACACGGCCCAGACUCCUACGGGAGGCAGCAGUGGGGAAUAUUGCACAAUGGAGGAAACUCUGAUGCAGCGAUGCCGCGUGAGGGAAGAAGGUUUUAGGAUUGUAAACCUCUGUCUUCAGGGACGAAAAAAGACGGUACCUGAGGAGGAAGCUCCGGCUAACUACGUGCCAGCAGCCGCGGUAAUACGUAGGGAGCGAGCGCUGUCCGGAAUUACUGGGUGUAAAGGGAGCGUAGGCGGGAUCGCAAGUCAGAUGUGAAAACUAUGGGCUUAACCCAUAAACUGCAUUUGAAACUGUGGUUCUUGAGUGAAGUAGAGGUAAGCGGAAUUCCUAGUGUAGCGGUGAAAUGCGUAGAUAUUAGGAGGAACAUCAGUGACGAAGGCGGCUUACUGGGCUUUAACUGACGCUGAGGCUCGAAAGCGUGGGGAGCAAACAGGAUUAGAUACCCUGGUAGUCCACGCCGUAAACGAUGAUUACUAGGUGUGGGAGGACUGACCCCUUCCGUGCCGCAGCAAACGCAAUAAGUAAUCCACCUGGGGAGUACGACCGCAAGGUUGAAACUCAAAGGAAUUGACGGGGGCCCGCACAAGCAGUGGAGUAUGUGGAUUAAUUCGAAGCAACGCGAAGAACCUUACCAGGUCUUGACAUCGUAUGCAUAGCUCAGAGAUGAGUGAAAUCUCUUCGGAGACAUAUAGACAGGUGGUGCAUGGUUGUCGUCAGCUCGUGUCGUGAGAUGUUGGGUUAAGUCCCGCAACGAGCGCAACCCUUACUGUUAGUUGCUACGCAAGAGCACUCUAGCAGGACUGCCGAUGACAAAACGGAGGAAGGUGGGGAUGACGUCAAAUCAUCAUGCCCCUUAUGACCUGGGCCUCACACGUACUACAAUGGCUGUCAACAGAGGGAAGCAAAGCCGCGAGGUGGAGCGAACCCCUAAAAGCAGUCUUAGUUCGGAUUGUAGGCUGCAACCCGCCUACAUGAAGUCGGAAUUGCUAGUAAUCGCAGAUCAGCAUGCUGCGGUGAAUACGUUCCCGGGCCUUGUACACACCGCCCGUCACGCCGUGGGAGUCGGUAACACCCGAAGCCCGUAGUCUAACCGCAAGGAGGACGCAGUCGAAGGUGGGAUUGAUGACUGGGGUGAAGUCGUAACAAGGUA